rnacentral:rRNA from 1 species
UACGUAGGGGGCAAGCGUUGUCCGGAAUUAUUGGGCGUAAAGAGCGUGUAGGCGGCCAGAUAAGUCCGCUGUGAAAUCUCGAGGCUCAACUUCGAGCUGUCGGUGGAAACUAUCUGGCUAGAGUCCGGAAGAGGAGAAUGGAAUUCCUGGUGUAGCGGUGAAAUGCGCAGAUAUCAGGAAGAACACCCGUGGCUAAGGCGGUUCUCUAGUACGGUACUGACGCUGAGACGCGAAAGCGUGGGGAGCGAACAGG